rnacentral:rRNA from 1 species
AUGGUCCAUUGUGAUGUUCCAGUUGAUAAUACAAAAUUGUGGAAGCUAAAAAUCCCUCUAAGAGUGAAGAUAUUCCUUUGGUUUCUAAACAAAGGAGUCAUCGUAACUAGAGAUAACCUGACACGACGAAAUUGGCACGGGUCCAAGACAUGUAUCUUUUGCCAACAUGACGAGACUAUCAAACACUUAUUUUUUGAGUGCAAGUUCGCUCGGGCAGUUUGGGAUUUAUACCCACCACGUAGUGCACGGAAUAUGUUCGGCAACUGGUUGCGGGGUAUUGAUAAACAAUUUUCUGCACAUAUUCUUGUGGGAGCGGCGGCCUUAUGCUGGGUAAUGUGGCUUACCAGGAAUGAUGUGGUUUUUAACAAUAAAUGUGUCUCAUCUCCUAUGCAGGUUAUCCAUGUUUGUACACGAAGCCUUCGUAUGUGGUCUAUCCUGCAGAAGCCGGAGGACAGGGACCUUUUUAUGAUGGCGUCUACACGGCUGGAGUGUACGACCAGGGAGCUUUUCUACCCACAUGGAUGGCGGUGUGAUUUACGGAUAGGAUCUACCGUUUCUUAG